GGUUAAGCGACUAAGCGUACACGGUGGAUGCCCUGGCAGUCAGAGGCGAUGAAGGACGUGCUAAUCUGCGAUAAGCGUCGGUAAGGUGAUAUGAACCGUUAUAACCGGCGAUUUCCGAAUGGGGAAACCCAGUGUGAUUCGUCACACUAUCAUUAUGUGAAUACAUAGCGUAAUGAAGCGAACCGGGGGAACUGAAACAUCUAAGUACCCCGAGGAAAAGAAAUCAACCGAGAUUCCCCCAGUAGCGGCGAGCGAACGGGGAGCAGCCCAGAGUCUGAAUCAGCAUGUGUGUUAGUGGAAGCGUCUGGAAAGUCGCACGAUACAGGGUGAAAGUCCCGUACACAAAAGUGCAUGUGUUGUGAACUCGAAGAGUAGGGCGGGACACGUGGUAUCCUGUCUGAAUAUGGGGGGACCAUCCUCCAAGGCUAAAUACUCCUGACUGACCGAUAGUGAACCAGUACCGUGAGGGAAAGGCGAAAAGAACCCCGGCGAGGGGAGUGAAAAAGAACCUGAAACCGUGUACGUACAAGCAGUGGGAGCACCCUUCGGAGUGUGACUGCGUACCUUUUGUAUAAUGGGUCAGCGACUUAUAUUCUGUAGCAAGGUUAACCGAAUAGGGGAGCCGAAGGGAAACCGAGUCUUAACUGGGCGUUAAGUUGCAGGGUAUAGACCCGAAACCCGGUGAUCUAGCCAUGGGCAGGUUGAAGGUUGGGUAACACUAACUGGAGGACCGAACCGACUAAUGUUGAAAAAUUAGCGGAUGACUUGUGGCUGGGGGUGAAAGGCCAAUCAAACCGGGAGAUAGCUGGUUCUCCCCGAAAGCUAUUUAGGUAGCGCCUCGUGAAUUCAUCUUCGGGGGUAGAGCACUGUUUCGGCUAGGGGGUCAUCCCGACUUACCAACCCGAUGCAAACUGCGAAUACCGAAGAAUGUUAUCACGGGAGACACACGGCGGGUGCUAACGUCCGUCGUGAAGAGGGAAACAACCCAGACCGCCAGCUAAGGUCCCAAAGUCAUGGUUAAGUGGGAAACGAUGUGGGAAGGCACAGACAGCCAGGAUGUUGGCUUAGAAGCAGCCAUCAUUUAAAGAAAGCGUAAUAGCUCACUGGUCGAGUCGGCCUGCGCGGAAGAUGUAACGGGGCUAAACCAUGCACCGAAGCUGCGGCAGCGACACUAUGUGUUGUUGGGUAGGGGAGCGUUCUGUAAGCCGUUGAAGGUGUGUCGUGAGGCAUGCUGGAGGUAUCAGAAGUGCGAAUGCUGACAUAAGUAACGAUAAUGCGGGUGAAAAACCCGCACGCCGGAAGACCAAGGGUUCCUGUCCAACGUUAAUCGGGGCAGGGUGAGUCGACCCCUAAGGCGAGGCCGAAAGGCGUAGUCGAUGGGAAACAGGUUAAUAUUCCUGUACUUGGUGUUACUGCGAAGGGGGGACGGAGAAGGCUAUGUUAGCCGGGCGACGGUUGUCCCGGUUUAAGCAUGUAGGCGGAGGUUCCAGGUAAAUCCGGUA
rnacentral:rRNA from 1 species